GACGAACCGAGCGAACGUUGUUCGGAAUCACUGGGCUUAAAGCGUGUGUAGGCGGAUCGUUAAGUGUCUUGUGAAAUCCCACGGCUCACCCGUGGAACUGCUGGGCAUACUGGCGAUCUUGGGCCAACUAGGGGCAGCCGGAACAAGCGGUGGAGCGGUGAAAUGCGUAGAUAUCGCUUGGAACGCCGAAGGUGAAAACAGGCUGCUGGGGUUGUGCCGACGCUGAGACACGAAAGCCAGGGGAGCAAACGGG
rnacentral:rRNA from 1 species